CUUUUAACAAAAGCAAUAAAACAAUAUUUUUAAACUUUAGAGGGAUCGAACUCUAAGUUUAAAUUACCAUAAAAUGUGAGGAAACCAAGUUAAGGUAACAAUAUAUGAACCUACAAAAUAGGCUCCAAGAUCUUAGAUGCUAUAGGGUAUUCCUAAAUAGGAACAUCCAUAAGUUGCUAGUGACAAAGUCAGAGAUAAAUAAUAUCUUAAAUAGCAUAUAUAUAGAGGCUAGAGGUAUAAUAUGACACAUCCUAAAUUCGAGACAUAACACGG
rnacentral:lncRNA from 1 species